rnacentral:rRNA from 1 species
UCAUAUGCUUGUCUCAAAGCUUAAGCCAUGCAAGUGUAAGUUCACGCCACGCAUUAGAACGGGCGAAACCGCGAAUGGCUCAGGAACCGGACCUAAUCCUCGGGACCGUAAUCCUCCUCGGAGGCGAUGGAUAACUGUGGCAAUUCUAGAGCUAAUACAUGUGACACAGGCCGCGAUCGGCCGUCGCGCCGUGGUCGCCUCGCCUUUUCGAAGCGCGCUGGCACCCGCGACGGCCGUCUUGGGUCGCGGCGCUACAUAUUAGACUGAGACCGAUGCGCGAUUUCCGGCCUCUCGUCUCGGGUUUCGGCUCGUUUCGGGGCCAAAGGUCGGCGCGCUCCGCUUUGGUGACUCUGGAUAACUCACUGGUCGAUCGCACGGGCUUCCACGCCCGGCGACGGGUCCCCCGAGGGUCCGCCCUAUCAACUGUCGACGGUCGGUUAAGUGCCUACCGUGGUUACUACGGGUAACGGGGAAUCGGGGUUCGAUUCCGGAGAGGGAGCAUGCGAAACGGCUACCACAUCCAAGGAAGGCAGCAGGCGCGCAAAUUACCCACUCCCGGCACGGGGAGGUAGUGACGAAAAAUAACGACGCGGGACUCUGUCGAGGCCCCGCGAUCGGAAUGAGUACACUUCAAAUCCGUUAACGAGGACCAACCGGAGGGCAAGUCUGGUGCCAGCAGCCGCGGUAAUUCCAGCUCCGGUAGCGUAUAUUAAAGUUGUUGCGGUUAAAAAGCUCGUAGUCCGAACUCGGGUUCGUGGUCGCUCACGCGGCCCCGGGGCGGCGGCGCCAUCGUCCAUCGUUGACUUUGGUCGUCCGUUCGCAUUUCCGGCCCUUUCCGCCGGUGUCAAUCGCUAUAUAGACGGCCGCGGGACAGCUGGUGGUCGGCGCGAAGCGGUCGGGGGCGUUGUGGGGGGUUAGGUGUUCGGUUUCUUCUUUCUGCGGGRAAAGGUACGGKUUCGUCCCRAAUCCRACUCGGUGGGGGGUUGGGCCGUGCGUCCUUUUCUCUCGCUCGCUCUCGUUCCGCGUCCGGGCUCUCACGGGCUCCCUUCCGCUACGCCUGCUCGUGUUGCCGUCGGUGAUUUCUCCUCCAAGGGUGCUCUUAACCGAGUGUCCGCGGCGGCCGGUACGUUCACUUUGAAAAAAUUAGAGUGCUCAGAGCGGGCUGUUCAAGCUUGCAUACGAUAAGCAUGGAAUGAUGGAAGAGGGCCUCGUCUACGUCUGUCGGUCUCCGUCUACGGCGAGGCAAUGAUCGAAGGGAGCGGUCGGGGCCACUCGUAUUGCGACGUUAGAGGUGAAAUUCUUGGAUCGUCGCAAGACGAACUGCAGCGAUGGCGUGUGGCAAGCACGUUUUCCUCGAUCAAGAGCGAAAGUCGGAGGUUCGAAGACGAUCAGAUACCGUCGUAGUUCCGACCGUAAACGAUGCCGACCGGCGAUCCGCCGGCGUUCGCUUCCAUGACCCGGCGGGUAGCCUGCGGGAAACCAGAGUUCGGUUCCGGGGGGAGUAUGGUUGCAAAGCUGAAACUUAAAGGAAUUGACGGAAGGGCACCACCAGGAGUGGAGCCUGCGGCUUAAUUUGACUCAACACGGGAAAACUCACCCGGUCCGGACACCGGUAGGAUUGACAGAUCGAUAGCUCUUUCUCGAUUCGGUGGGUGGUGGUGCAUGGCCGUCUUAGUUGGUGGAGCGAUCCGUCUGGUUGAUUCCGAUAACGAACGAGACUCCGGCCUGCUAACUAGUGCGCCGAUGUGAGUGCGACCCUUCGCUGGCCGUGUGCGGGCUCGUGGGCGAUUUUUGAUCGUCUCUCGUGUCCGGGUCGGUUUCUCACGCACUUCUUAGAGGGACGGGUGGCAGAAAGCCACACGAGGCGGAGCGAUAACAGGUCUGUGAUGCCCUUAGAUGUCCGGGGCCGCACGCGCGCUACACUGGAGGUAUCAGCGGGGACUUCGCCCCGGCCCGAGAGGGUCGGGAAACCUCUCAACCACCUCCCGUGAUAGGGAUCGGGGCCUGUAACCAACCCCGUGAACGAGGAAUUCCCGGUAGGCGCGGGUCAACAGCCCGCGUCGAUCACGUCCCUGCCCUUUGUACACACCGCCCGUCGCUACUACCGAUCGAACGGUCCGGUGAGGUCCUCGGAUCUGGCCGACGACGCCGCCGGGUAAGGCCCUCGGGUCCCGCCUCGGCGUUCGAUGCCUGGAGAAGACGACCGAACCCGAUCGUUUAGAGGAA